rnacentral:lncRNA from 1 species
UGAGGAUGGAGUGGGGCACCCAUCUGUGGGCCAGGAAGUGCUCAGCAUGCCAUUUGGUGGCUCCUAAGAAGCUUCGGAUGCAGCUGCUUCUCCCCAGAGGAAAUGAGUGGAUCAGGGUGACAUCGCCUCAUCAUGGCCCCAGCACCGACACUCACAGAGAGAUCGCAAGACUGCUGCCACUGAGCCUAAUGACCCGACAUCCAUCCCCAGGACUCACGUGGUGGAAAGAGAGAACCAACUCUGGCCGGUUGUCUUCUGAUCACCAAGGGUAUAUACUGUGUCUUCCCAAAUAAAUGAAUUAAUGUAAUGAA